GACAGAGGUGCCGAGCGUUAGGCGGAAUCACUGGGCUUAAAGCGUGUGUAGGUGGAUGCCUAAGUACCUUGUGAAAUCCCUCGGCUUAACCGAGGAACUGCCUGUCAGACUGGAUUGCUUGAGGCCGGGAGAGGUGAGUGGAAUUCCCAGUGUAGCGGUGAAAUGCGUAGAUAUUGGGGAGGAACACCAGUGGCGAAGGCGGCUCACUGGACCGGUACUGACGCUGAUGCGCGAAAGCGUGGGGAGCAAACAGG
rnacentral:rRNA from 1 species